UACAGAGGUCUCAAGCGUUGUUCGGAUUCAUUGGGCGUAAAGGGUGCGUAGGCGGCGCGGUAAGUCGGGUGUGAAAUCUCGGAGCUUAACUCCGAAACUGCAUUCGAUACUGCCGUGCUUGAGGACUGGAGAGGAGACUGGAAUUCAUGGUGUAGCAGUGAAAUGCGUAGAGAUCAUGAGGAAGACCAGUGGCGAAGGCGGGUCUCUGGACAGUUCCUGACACUGAGACACGAAGGCCAGGGGAGCAGACGGG
rnacentral:rRNA from 1 species